CAGCCGCCGCGGGAAUACGAAGGGUGCAAGCGUUAAUCGGAAUUACUGGGCGUAAAGCGUCUGUAGGUGGCUUUUCAAGUCCGCCGUCAAAUCCCAGGGCUCAACCCUGGACAGGCGGUGGAAACUACCAAGCUGGAGUACGGUAGGGGCAGAGGGAAUUUCCGGUGGGGCGGUGAAAUGCGUUGAGAUCGGAAAGAACACCAACGGCGAUAGCACUCUGCUGGGCCGACACUGACACUGAGAGACGAAAGCUAGGGGAGCAAAUGGGAUUAGAUACCCCAGUAGUCCCUGUCUCUUAUAC
rnacentral:rRNA from 1 species